UACGAGGGGGGCGAGCGUUGUUCGGAAUUAUUGGGCGUAAAGGGCGCGUAGGCGGUGCGGUAAGUCACCUGUGAAAUCUCCUGGCUCAACUGGGAGCUUGCAGGCGAAACUGCCGUGCUGGAGUGUGGGAGAGGAGCGUGGAAUUCCUGGUGUAGCGGUGAAAUGCGUAGAUAUCAGGAGGAACACCUGUGGCGAAAGCGGCGCACUGGACCACAACUGACGCUGAGGCGCGAAAGCUAGGGGAGCAAACAGG
rnacentral:rRNA from 1 species